GAUGAACGCUGGCGGCGUGCCUAAUACAUGCAAGUCGAACGCACAGCGAAAGGUGCUUGCACCUUUCAAGUGAGUGGCGAACGGGUGAGUAACACGUGGAUAACCUACCUCAAGGUUGGGGAUAACAUUUGGAAACAGAUGCUAAUACCGAAUAAAACUUCGUAUCGCAUGAUACAAAGGUUAAAAGGCGCUACGGCGUCACCUAGAGAUGGAUCCGCGGUGCAUUAGUUAGUUGGUGGGUAAAGGCCUACCAAGACAAUGAUGCAUAGCCGAGUUGAGAGACUGAUCGGCCACAUUGGGACUGAGACACGGCCCAAACUCCUACGGGAGGCUGCAGUAGGGAAUCUUCCACAAUGGGCGAAAGCCUGAU
rnacentral:rRNA from 1 species